AUUGAACGCUGGCGGCAUGCCUUACACAUGCAAGUCGAACGAUAACGCGGGGCAACCUGGCGACGAGUGGCGAACGGGUGAGUAAUGCAUCGGAACGUGCCCAGUUGUGGGGGAUAACUGCUCGAAAGAGCAGCUAAUACCGCAUACGACCUGAGGGUGAAAGCGGGGAGUCGCAAGACCUCGCGCAAUUGGAGCGGCCGAUGUCGGAUUAGCUAGUUGGUGGGGUAAAGGCCCACCAAGGCGACGAUCCGUAGCUGGUCUGAGAGGACGACCAGCCACACUGGGACUGAGACACGGCCCAGACUCCUACGGGAGGCAGCAGUGGGGAAUUUUGGACAAUGGACGCAAGUCUGAUCCAGCCAUG
rnacentral:rRNA from 1 species